UGCUUCAUCUUGUCUGACGGCCUGAUCGAUGAGAGCUCGGGACCGUCGAGGCAUUGAGCUUGAGCGCUGACCUGGCCCUGCUCCUGGCAAAGUGGAGACUGGAGACGACGAAUCGGUCGUAAUGGAUGCGGAGGACUAUAGGCAUCACCCGGUCGCCGGCUGCCACCGUUGACGGUACGAUGGUUGAGGUUUGAGGAUACGAGUCCAAGGUUAAGUUGGUUUCUUGUUGAGGCUAUAGAUCAUGGCUCAUAGGCUACUGUGGUACUGGGCUGAAUUAGCUAGGCUGUAGCAUGAUAUGUUCAGAAAUUUUUGUGAGGCAAGGGGGCCGGAGCCCCUUAUGGCCCCUACAUCAUUGGAGGGUAAAGAGCUUCAAAUUUUAGUCUAGAUAAUCUGAGCUCAAUUAUGAAAGAAUGUGACUCUUAUUUUAUACAAUUUUAAUCCAAAUAUAUACAAAGAUCAAAUUGUAUUA